rnacentral:rRNA from 1 species
ACGGGAGGCAGCAGUGGGGAAUAUUGCACAAUGGGCGCAAGCCUGAUGCAGCGAUGCCGCGUGAGGGGAGAAGGUUUUCGGAUUGUAAACCUCUGUCAACAGGGACGAAAAUGACGGUACCUGUGGAGGAAGCUCCGGCUAACUACGUGCCAGCAGCCGCGGUAAUACGUAGGGAGCAAGCGUUAUCCGGAAUUACUGGGUGUAAAGGGAGUGUAGGCGGGACUGUAAGUCAGAUGUGAAAUAUGCCGGCUCAACUGGCAGACUGCAUUUGAAACUGCGGUUCUUGAGUGAAGUAGAGGUAAGCGGAAUUCCUAGUGUAGCGGUGAAAUGCGUAGAUAUUAGGAGGAACAUCAGUGGCGAAGGCGGCUUACUGGGCUUUAACUGACGCUGAGGCUCGAAAGCGUGGGGAGCAAACAGGAUUAGAUACCCUGGUA